rnacentral:antisense_RNA from 1 species
CAUUUUCUAUGUUCUGUGAUUUCAGACGAGAAACCCCAGCUGAGGAGGCAAAUACACUCAAGGAAAGUAAUAGUUUCCAAAUGCCUGGCAGUGCCAGGAAGGGGCCAUGUCCGUGGACCACUAUGUAAGGAUAUCUCAGUCUCUAGUCAAGCAUGGUUUAUGGUGCCAAAUAAGUGCCAGGUGAACUCACUACAUCUGACAAAAUCUCAAGGAACCAAGUUUACCAGAUAAUAUUUAUGAUUAUGUGAAAAAGACUGAGGAAAUCACUCUAGUGAUCCAUCAUACAGCACCUCCAGUUCCAAAGAAUACUGACUUACUUCAGCUGUACUGGUCUGGAGCUGCACAUUCUUUUCAGACAACUCUUGUUCCAAUAAGUUCAGGCUAGAGUGCAAUGGUGCAACCUCAGCUCACUGCAACCUCCGCUUCCCAGGUUCAAGCGAUUCUCCUGCUUCAGCCUCCCUGGUUGCUGGGAUUACAGGUGACUCUUCUCCUGUAACAGAGCCUCCUUCUUAGAAACUAUGGCCUCCCGUUUCUUUAAGUCUUCUUCCAGCUCCUCUAAUUCUUGGCGUUGGUUCAGAACUUUCUCUACUUCUUCAUCUAACCAUUUCUUUUGCUCAUCCAAUUUCUACAUUAAAAUUUAAAAAAAA